rnacentral:rRNA from 1 species
UGCAAGUCGAGCGGGCCUUUCGGGGUCAGCGGCGGACGGGUGAGUAACGCGUGGGAACGUGCCCUCUGGUUCGGAAUAACUCAGGGAAACUUGAGCUAAUACCGGAUACGCCCUUUUGGGGAAAGGCUUGCUGCCGGAGGAUCGGCCCGCGUCUGAUUAGCUAGUUGGUGAGGUAACGGCUCACCAAGGCGACGAUCAGUAGCUGGUCUGAGAGGAUGAUCAGCCACACUGGGACUGAGACACGGCCCAGACUCCUACGGGAGGCAGCAGUGGGGAAUAUUGGACAAUGGGCGCAAGCCUGAUCCAGCCAUGCCGCGUGAGUGAUGAAGGCCUUAGGGUUGUAAAGCUCUUUUAUCCGGGACGAUAAUGACGGUACCGGAGGAAUAAGCCCCGGCUAACUUCGUGCCAGCAGCCGCGGUAAUACGAAGGGGGCUAGCGUUGCUCGGAAUCACUGGGCGUAAAGGGCGCGUAGGCGGCGUUUUAAGUCGGGGGUGAAAGCCUGUGGCUCAACCACAGAAUGGCCUUCGAUACUGGGACGCUUGAGUAUGGUAGAGGUUGGUGGAACUGCGAGUGUAGAGGUGAAAUUCGUAGAUAUUCGCAAGAACACCGGUGGCGAAGGCGGCCAACUGG